CCCUUAGAUGUUCUGGGCCGCACGCGCGCUACACUGAUGCAUUCAACGAGUCUAAAACCUGGUCUGAUAGGGCUGGGUAAUCUUUUGAAAGUGCAUCGUGAUUGGGAUAGAUGAUUGCAAUUCUUCAUCUUCAACGAGGAAUGCCUAGUAAGCGUGAUUCAUCAAAUCGCGUUGAUUACGUCCCUGCCCUUUGUACACACCGCCCGUCGCUCCUACCGAUUGAGUGUGUUGGUGAGGAGUUCGGAUUGGCUCUUAGUGGUGGUUCGCCACCACCUAGAGCUGAGAAGUUCUCCAAACCGCCCCACUUAGAGGAAGGAGAAGUCGUAACA
rnacentral:rRNA from 1 species